AGUAACAAGGGAGUAACCUGCCCUGAUGAUUGGGACAACCCGAGGAAACUCGGGUUUACACCGAAUGUGCCUACAAGCCAUAAGGCCGCUGGGGAAAGGAAGCUUCGGCCUCCGCAUCGGGAUGGGCCCGCGGCCCAUUAGCUUGUUGGUGAGGUAACGGCUCACCAAGGCAACGAUGGGUAGCUGGUCUGAGAGGAUGGCCAGCCACACUGGGACUGAAACACGGCCCAGACUCCUACGGGAGGCAGCAGUGGG
rnacentral:rRNA from 1 species